UACGUAGGGCGCAAGCGUUAUCCGGAAUUAUUGGGCGUAAAGAGCUCGUAGGCGGUUUGUCGCGUCUGCCGUGAAAGUCCGGGGCUCAACCCCGGGCGUGCAGUGGAUACGGGCUGGCUGGAGGCAGGCAGGGGAGAAUGGAAUUCCCGGUGUAGCGGUGAAAUGCGCAGAUAUCGGGAGGAACACCGGUGGCGAAGGCGGUUCUCUGGGCCUGUGCUGACGCUGAGGAGCGAAAGCGUGGGGAGCGAACAGG
rnacentral:rRNA from 1 species